rnacentral:misc_RNA from 1 species
GUAUAGGUUUAUGGGCACAAAGGCCACUGAUAACAUUCUACGACAUACAUUGGGGUAUAUGAAGAAACAUAGGCCUGGAAAUGGAAGAAGAGACGUAAAGUCAAAUCCUCAAUCCUGAAUGGCUAGCAUUCAGAGAGAGAUCCAAGUCUACAAAAGGUGCACAGGUGGAGAUAUAAAGAUGACAAGCGUGCACAUGCUCCCUAGAGAACCAGCAGCAACUCAUCAGAUUUAUUUCAAUAAUGAUCCUUCCGCAGGUUCACCUACGGAAA